UCCCUGGAGGUCCAGUGGUGAAGACUCCACACUUUCACUGCGGGGACACAGGUUUGACCCCUGGUCAGGGAA
rnacentral:tRNA from 1 species